ensembl:lncRNA
GGGCAAUUAUGUAAGGAUAGAGGACAAACAGGUAUCUAGAAUGAUUCCCAGUUUUCUAACUUGGAAAGUCAAAUAAACAGUGACCAGGAAUUCAAAUAGAGAUUUGAGAAUGAUGAGCAAAUCGAAGGGUGGGGAAGGGUAGAUCUUUGGGAAGUCCAAUCUGUCUUCCCAAGCCCUCUGACAGUGUGCUCAGCCUUCGCCGUUUCCCCUGUGAUCUCGCCAAGCUUGUUGCGGCUGCUGCUAAGUCACUUCAGCAGUGUGCGACCCCAUAGACGGCAGCCCACCAGGCUCCCCCGUCCCUGGGACUCUCCAGGCAAGAACACUGGAGUCGGUUGCCAUUUCCUUCUCCAAUGCAUGAAAGUGAAAAGUGAAAGUGAAGUCGCUCAGUCGUGUCAGACUCUUAGCGACCCCAUGGACUGCAGCCCACCAGGCUCCUCCAUCCAUGGGAUUUUCCAGGCGAGAGUUCUGGAGUGGGGUGCCAUUGCCUUCUCCAAGCUUGUUGUUAGGGCAGUUCUAGUCAUAGGCCUUCCUUUAGGGCAGUUGUUCUCAAACUUUAGCAUGUAUCAGAAUCAUCUGAAGUGUUUGUUAAAAACAGAUUUCUAGGCUUUUUCCCUUGAGUCUGAUUGAGUAGAUCUGAGGUGGGACUCUAGAAUUAGUAUUUCCAACUGUAUGUCUAUAACAAAUUUCCAGGUGAUGCUAAUGCUUCAAGCCUAUGAACUUGAUGCUAAUGCUUCAAGUUGGGAAUGACCAACUGAGAAAUACCGCUUUAGAACAUGAUCCUUAUUUUCUUUUUUUUUUUCUCAGAGAACAGGCUCUAGGCCUUGUGGGCUUCAGUAGUUGUGGUUUUCAGGCUCUAGAGCACAGGUCCAACAGUUGUGGAGCAUGGGCUUAAAUGCUCCAUGGCAUGUGGGAUCUUCCGAGAUCAGGGAUUGAACCUAUGUCUCCUGCACUGCAAGCAUAUUCUUUACCACUGAACCAC